GCUCUUGUAGCUCAGUGGUAGAGCACUUCUUUGGUAAAGAAGAGGCCGGAGGUUCGAUACCUCUCAAGAGCACCA
rnacentral:tRNA from 1 species